AUUGAACGCUGGCGGCAUGCUUUACACAUGCAAGUCGAACGGUAACAGGCCUUCGGGUGCUGACGAGUGGCGAACGGGUGAGUAAUGCAUCGGAACGUACCCAGAGGUGGGGGAUAACGCAGCGAAAGCUGUGCUAAUACCGCAUGUGAUCUGAGGAUGAAAGCGGGGGACCGAGCAGCAAUGUUUGGCCUCGCGCCUUUGGAGCGGCCGAUGUCGGAUUAGCUAGUUGGUGGGGUAAAGGCCUACCAAGGCGACGAUCCGUAGCUGGUCUGAGAGGACGACCAGCCACACUGGGACUGAGACACGGCCCAGACUCCUACGGGAGGCAGCAGUGGGGAAUUUUGGACAAUGGGCGCAGGCCUGAUCCAGCAAUGCCGCGUGCGGGAAGAAGGCCUUCGGGUUGUAAACCGCUUUUGGCAGGAACGAAACGGUGUCCGCUAAUACCGGGCGCUAAUGACGGUACCUGCAGAAUAAGCACCGGCUAACUACGUG
rnacentral:rRNA from 1 species